rnacentral:rRNA from 1 species
GACGAACGCUGGCGGCGUGCUUAACACAUGCAAGUCGAACGAAAAGGCCUUUUCGGAGGUACUCGAGUGGCGCACGGGUGAGUAACACGUGGGUGAUCUGCCCUGCACUCUGGGAUAAGCCUGGGAAACUGGGUCUAAUACCGGAUAGGACCGCACUUUAGUGCGUGUGGUGGAAAGUUUUUUCGGUGUAGGAUGAGCCCGCGGCCUAUCAGCUUGUUGGUGGGGUAAUGGCCUACCAAGGCGGCGACGGGUAGCCGGACUGAGAGGUUGGUCGGCCACAUUGGGACUGAGAUACGACCCAGACUCCACCGGGAGGCAGCAGUGGGGAAUAUUGCACAAUGGGCGGAGCCUGAUGCAGCGACGCCGCGGGGGGGAUGACGGCCUUCGGGUUGGAAACUCAUUUCGCCAGGGACGAAGCGUUUUGUGACGGUACCUGGAGAAGAAGCACCGGCUAACUACGUG